rnacentral:rRNA from 1 species
CCUACGGGGGGCUGCAGUGGGGAAUAUUGGACAAUGGGGGCAACCCCGAUCCAGCCAUGCCGCGUGUGUGAAGAAGGCCCUCGGGUUGUAAAGCACUUUCAGUGAGGAAGAACGCCUGGUGGUUAAUACCCAUCAGGAAAGACAUCACUCACAGAAGAAGCACCGGCUAACUCCGUGCCAGCAGCCGCGGUAAUACGGAGGGUGCGAGCGUUAAUCGGAAUUACUGGGCGUAAAGCGCGCGUAGGUGGCUUGAUAAGCCGGUUGUGAAAGCCCCGGGCUCAACCUGGGAACGGCAUCCGGAACUGUCAAGCUAGAGUGCAGGAGAGGAAGGUAGAAUUCCCGGUGUAGCGGUGAAAUGCGUAGAGAUCGGGAGGAAUACCAGUGGCGAAGGCGGCCUUCUGGACUGACACUGACACUGAGGUGCGAAAGCGUGGGUAGCAAACAGGAUUAGAUACCCCUGUAGUC